AAAUCCUAAAUCCUAAGAAAAUCCUAAAUCCUAAAUUUAGAACAAAUCCUAAAUCCUAAAUUUUAAACAAAUUCUAAAUCAAAUUCUAAAUAAAUUCUAAAUCCUAAAUCCUAAAUAAAUCUUAAAUCCUAAAAAAAUUCUAAAUCAAGUUCUAAACCUUAAAAAAAUCCUAAAUCCUAAAUCUUGAAUAAAUCUUAAUUCAAAUCCUAAAUCUUAGUCCAAUCCUAAAUCCUAAGUAAAUCCUAAUUCAAAUCUUAAAUCUUUUUUCAAACCUAAAUCUUAAUCAAACC
rnacentral:lncRNA from 1 species